GGAAAAUACUCUCCAAACCCCUCUCUCUCUCUCUCUCUAUAUAUAUAUAUAUAUAUGAAACCCCAAACCCAAAUCGACAUCAAGAGCUCCAAGAAGCAAAAGCCUCUUCAAGUUGAACACAAUGGUGUGAAUCUAUUGACUCAGACCUGAUGUUCGAUUCUGAUUCAUCUAUUCUAGGAGUAGCCAUAACAACUAGUGAGAAGGAGAAUAAUGAAUGAAGAAAAGAUGCAAAGAGAGAACUUUGAGAAUAGAAGAAUGAAGAGAGCGAGAGAGAGAGAAGUAACGAUGAAGAUAGAGAAAACUGUCGGAAGGAGAACGCUUGAAGGGGACGGAAGAGACAAAUGCAUGCCACUCGGCGAAGAAAAAAUCUUCGACCUAUCAUUCAGGAUAAUGUCUAUCUCAAGCUUCAAAGAGGAUGUGCGAAAUGCCUGGUUCUUGUUGAAGUGGUCACUUCCUAGCUCUAUUAUGAAAUUAGGCCAAGGAUUCAAGGAAAUAUACGGGCAUAGUGGAGGACUGUUGUUGUGAUUACGAGACAAUAGAUAGUUUUAAUGGAGAAGUUUUACAUCCUUUGCUCCAAGAGCUUGUCACAACUCCAUUUUUUCGAUAUUUCAAGAGGAUGGACUUUGGUGAGAGGUGGAGGUGGAUUUGAUUUUGCAUCUCUAAGGUAGUGAAUGGGUUGGUAAGAGGCUUUUUCGAGAGCUCUAGAUGGCAAAGGCAUUUUACUUUUGUUGAUUAUGGAAGCUUUGAGUCAGAUGAUAGAUAGGGCAUCUUGUGGUGGAUACUUAGUGGCUUUGGGGUGGGAGUAAAGGAUGGAGCAAUGGUGUUUGUUUCCCAUUUUCUUUUUGCAAAUGACACAAUGAUUUUUUUGUGGAGCUAACGAGUAAGAGUUGAGAGAUAUAGGUGGUUUUGGUUUUGUUUUAUUUUGCCUUUGGUAUUCACUGUUUAUAUUUUCAUCCCUUCCUGAAAUAUUCUUGUGAUAAUACAUUUACUUAUCAAAAUAUGUGGGUGUUAUGAUUUUUUUCUCCUUUCUUUUUUUGUGACUACAAAACUGGCUUACUUUGGUUUCAAUCAUGUUAAAGUUGAUCUACUUUAGAUUUCAAUAUUCUCAGCAUGAUGUACUGAAUUAUUGGCUCAUUUUUAGUUAGAGUUCCUUGUAAGUCUCUGGGUAUAACUCAACCUGAAUGUAACCUAAUUCAAACUGUCUAUUUUUUUUUAAAGUAAUCUUUGUCAAAUAGUCACAUAUGAAUUAAUAUGCUUGUUUUUCCUUCUGUGCUGCAAAUUUUUAUUUUUUUGGUAAAGCGAUUUCAUUACCAAAAAAGGUGGAUAUACAAUGCAGCUCAAGACAUUACCUUACACACGACAUAAGCCAAAAAGAAAGAAAGAAAGAAAGAAGAAAAAAAAAAAAAAAAAAAAGCUCUUCAUGGAGAGACAACACAAGUUACCUAACCUACAAAAAGAAAUCUUCUCACAACCCGAGAGGUAUGUCAAAACACACAAGGUACAAAGAAACACACAAAGUAGGCACAAUUAUGGAACUUCUCACAACCCCAGAGGUUAGGCACAUAAAACACACUUACCGGCAAAAAAGUUGAUAUAGUGGUGUUUCUUGGCCUAAUUUUGAUAAUGUUGUACAUAUGCCUUUCUAUAAUUGUAUAGAUGACAGUCAGUCAUCUAUACGAUUUCAUAGACCACCAGAUAAAUAUAAUAUUUAGGAAUUAUAAUCUCGCUGGUCUCACAUUGCUAUCGGAAAAUAUUUUAUUUUAUUUUGUUUUGUUUUUGUUGACAAGUGUGUAUUUCAUUAAGCAAAAUGGUACCAAAUGGUGCCACCCAAGCACAAAAUUAAAAAAGGAGGAUCCUGAAAACCUUAGUAAAGAAAAAUAGCAAACUUUACAACCCAACUACUCAAAAGACCCUACAAAAUCCAAAAAUUGAUCCAAGUAUGGCUCAAUACAUUUGAGUUCCAACUGUAUUAAGUAGACAAAUACUAUCACUAGAGCUUAAACUACACCUCCACACCUUUAAAGGUUCUAUUCCGCUCUCAUGAAAUGAUCCACAAAAGAGCAAGGGCCCUCCUCCUCAAAACUAUUUCUGAUGACACUUUGUUCUUUAUUUUUGUUUCUCAUGUCUGUGAAGAAAAACAUUGAUUCUCUAUAUACCUUGCUAUUUAUUUUUUGGGUUUUGCUAGAUGGUUGGAUCCAUAUCACUCCUGCUAUCUCUUGUUUGUAUUUCUGAAAAAACUAUAGCACUAGCUUUUGAACUUGAGUUUUACAAAAUACUAACAUGUUGAUUGUUGUUUCCUACUAUCAAUUUCCACAUUAUCCUUUCCAACCAGUUAUUGGAAUGGAAUGAGGAACAAACUGAAGAACAAGGGGGAGCUGAAUCACCUCCUGUUGUUGCUAAUGAUCCCUGUGCACAAAGUUCCGGAAAGAAAGAGGAUAAUCCAGUUAAUGGUACUGAAGAAAGUGGAUGGGGGCAGACUUCUGUGACUAAGGUAAGGAGUAAAUUCUUGUGGUGACUUGUUCAUAGUUUCAUUGAGCAUCACUGUUCUAGAAUACAUUAUAUGACCCGUAUCACUUUAGAAUCUGAUGUCACAUUUGUAGCAAGUACAAAACAUUCUCAACUAUUAACCACUUAAUUAACUUAGGCAUUCACAUAUGAGAGGAAUAACAAACAUGUAUAUGCAAAAUUCAAAGUUAUACCUAGGGUACAGACAUACCGAUGGGCCCAAAAAAAAAAA